rnacentral:ncRNA from 2 species
GCGAAGGACUCUGGAGAGAGGUGCGCAUCGCCGCAUCCGCCGAAGGGAUAACGAUCUCAGGCGAAAGGACAGAGGGGGCAUC